AACAGGAUUAGAUACCCUGGUAGUCCACGCCGUAAACGAUGUCGACUUGGAGGUUGUGCCCUUGAGGCGUGGCUUCCGGAGCUAACGCGUUAAGUCGACCGCCUGGGGAGUACGGCCGCAAGGUUAAAACUCAAAUGAAUUGACGGGGGCCCGCACAAGCGGUGGAGCAUGUGGUUUAAUUCGAUGCAACGCGAAGAACCUUACCUGGUCUUGACAUCCACAGAACUUUCCAGAGAUGGGUUGGUGCCUUCGGGAACUGUGAGACAGGUGCUGCAUGGCUGUCGUCAGCUCGUGUUGUGAAAUGUUGGGUUAAGUCCCGCAACGAGCGCAACCCUUAUCCUUUGUUGCCAGCGGUCCGGCCGGGAACUCAAAGGAGACUGCAGUGAUAAACUGGAGGAAGGUGGGGAUGACGUCAAGUCAUCAUGGCCCUUACGACCAGGGCUACACACGUGCUACAAUGGCGCAUACAAAGAGAAGCGACCUCGCGAGAGCAAGCGGACCUCAUAAAGUGCGUCGUAGUCCGGAUUGGAGUCUGCAACUCGACUCCAUGAAGUCGGAAUCGCUAGUAAUCGUGGAUCAGAAUGCCACGGUGGAUACGUUCCCGGGCCUUGUACACACCGCCCGUCACACCAUGGGAGUGGGUUGCAAAAGAAGUAGGUAGCUUAACCUUCGGGAGGGCGCUUACCACUUUGUGAUUCAUGACUGGGGUGAAGUCGUAACAAGGUAACC
rnacentral:rRNA from 1 species